rnacentral:rRNA from 1 species
AUGGACCCCAAGUCCCCCGACGACCGCCCGGAGGCGGCGGCGCCACAGCCGCUAGAGUGGCGGUUCGCGCAGGUCUUCGGCGAGCGCGGUGCUGGCGAGGACGUGCAGGAAGUUGACAUCAUUUCUGCAAUCGAGUUUGACAAAUCUGGUGAUCAUCUUGCCACUGGUGAUAGGGGUGGACGCGUAGUUUUGUUUGAAAGAACUGAUGCCAGGGGUAAUGCCAGUCGGACAGAGCUUGAGAGACAAGAUUAUUCGGUGCCCAGGCAUCCUGAGUUCCGCUAUAAAACUGAAUUUCAGAGUCAUGAACCUGAGUUCGAUUACCUAAAGAGUUUGGAAAUAGAGGAGAAAAUCAACAAGAUCAAGUGGGGCCAAACAGCCAACAAUGCUCUCUUUAUCUUGUCUACAAAUGACAAAACAAUCAAGUACUGGAAGGUGCAAGACAAAAAAGUGAAACGGAUUUCAGUAAUGAAUUUGGAUACUUCCCAGAGUGCAGACAAUGGGACAACUUCUAGUUCGAGUACCAGUAGCUCUAGAGGUCUUCCUAAUGGAGGAUCCUCAGAAAAGUCAUACAAUUGUGCAAACAAUGAUCUGCCAUUCCCUCCUGGGGGAUAUGCAUCAUUGCGUUUGCCUGUGGUAGUUGUUACAGGCCAAGAGUUAAACCCUGUCGCUAGAUGCCGGCGUGUAUAUGCACACGCCCAUGAUUACCAUAUCAAUUCCAUUUCAAAUAAUAGUGAUGGCGAGACAUUCAUAUCAGCAGAUGAUCUGCGAAUUAAUCUGUGGAAUUUGGAAAUCAACAGUCAGAGCUUUAACAUUGUUGAUGUGAAGCCUGCAAACAUGGAGGAUCUAACUGAGGUGAUUACAUGUGCGGAGUUCCAUCCAACUCACUGUAAUACACUAGCCUAUAGUAGCUCAAAGGGCGCUAUCAGGCUUAUUGACCUGCGGCAAUCAGCACUGUGUGACAACCAUUCUAAACUAUUUGAGGAGCAUGAAGCACCUGGAUCAAAAUCCUUUUUUACGGAGAUAAUUGCAUCCGUUUCAGAUAUAAAGUUUGCAAGGGAUGGACGGCAUAUUCUUAGUCGUGAUUAUAUGACUCUCAAGUUAUGGGAUCUCAACAUGGAUUCAGGCCCAGUAGCAACUUUCCAAGUUCAUGAACAUUUAAGGCCUAAGCUUUGCGAUCUAUAUGAAAACGAUUCAAUCUUUGACAAAUUUGAAUGUUGUCUGAGUGGGGAUGGUCAUCGUCUUGCUACUGGCUCUUACAGUAAUUUAUUCCGUGUUUUUGGUUGUACUCCUGGAAAUACUGAGGCAACCACUUUAGAAGCAAGCAGAAACCCUAUGAGGCGUCAGGUUGCUAAUCCAACAAGGCCUACAAGAACCCUGACCUCUUUGACCCGUGCUGUGAGGAGAGGGGGUGAAAAUGCAGGAGCCGAUGGCAAUGGGAAUUCUAAUGACUUCUCAACAAAGUUACUCCAUCUUGCGUGGCACCCAACUGAGGAUUCCAUUGCGUGUGCUGCUGGGAAUAGCUUGUACAUGUAUUAUGCAUAG